rnacentral:rRNA from 1 species
GAUGAACGCUGGCGGCGUGCCUAAUACAUGCGAGUCGAGCGAACAGACGAGGAGCUUGCUCCUCUGACGUUGGCGGCGGACGGGUGAGUAACACGUGGAUAACCUACCUAUAAGACUGGGAUAACUUCGGGAAACCGGAGCUAAUACCGGAUAAUAUAUUGAACCGCAUGGUUCAAUAGUGAAAGACGGUUUUGCUGUCACUUAUAGAUGGAUCCGCGCCGCAUUAGCUAGUUGGUAAGGUAACGGCUUACCAAGGCAACGAUGCGUAGCCGACCUGAGAGGGUGAUCGGCCACACUGGAACUGAGACACGGUCCAGACUCCUACGGGAGGCAGCAGUAGGGAAUCUUCCGCAAUGGGCGAAAGCCUGACGGAGCAACGCCGCGUGAGUGAUGAAGGUCUUCGGAUCGUAAAACUCUGUUAUUAGGGAAGAACAAAUGUGUAAGUAACUAUGCACGUCUUGACGGUACCUAAUCAGAAAGCCACGGCUAACUACGUG